CCCCCGUGUCCCAAUCAGGCGUGUUUGCGUGUUUACCUUUCCCGGAGUUCAGAGUACCCUAGAUACUCACGACAAGUGGCGCCCGAAUUCAGGGACUCCGAAGGUUGCUUAGGAAGCUUAGGGAAAUGAAUCCUUUAAAGCUUAAUUGGAAAAAUGAUGACCCA
rnacentral:lncRNA from 1 species